rnacentral:rRNA from 1 species
UGCAGUCGAGCGGUAGAGAGAAGCUUGCUUCUCUUGAGAGCGGCGGACGGGUGAGUAAUGCCUAGGAAUCUGCCUGGUAGUGGGGGAUAACGUUCGGAAACGGACGCUAAUACCGCAUACGUCCUACGGGAGAAAGCAGGGGACCUUCGGGCCUUGCGCUAUCAGAUGAGCCUAGGUCGGAUUAGCUAGUUGGUGGGGUAAUGGCUCACCAAGGCGACGAUCCGUAACUGGUCUGAGAGGAUGAUCAGUCACACUGGAACUGAGACACGGUCCAGACUCCUACGGGAGGCAGCAGUGGGGAAUAUUGGACAAUGGGCGAAAGCCUGAUCCAGCCAUGCCGCGUGUGUGAAGAAGGUCUUCGGAUUGUAAAGCACUUUAAGUUGGGAGGAAGGGUUGUAGAUUAAUACUCUGCAAUUUUGACGUUACCGACAGAAUAAGCACCGGCUAACUCUGUGCCAGCAGCCGCGGUAAUACAGAGGGUGCAAGCGUUAAUCGGAAUUACUGGGCGUAAAGCGCGCGUAGGUGGUUUGUUAAGUUGGAUGUGAAAUCCCCGGGCUCAACCUGGGAACUGCAUUCAAAACUGACUGACUAGAGUAUGGUAGAGGGUGGUGGAAUUUCCUGUGUAGCGGUGAAAUGCGUAGAUAUAGGAAGGAACACCAGUGGCGAAGGCGACCACCUGGACUAAUACUGACACUGAGGUGCGAAAGCGUGGGGAGCAAACAGGA